CCUUUGGUAGGUUAGUUGGAAGUUUCGCUGUAUCGUCAUUGCCUUUCUAAUAAAUGUAUAUCUAUGCUAAUGUCUGCGCUGGGUUUCUUAAAGGGGAAUGGUAACUCUAGGAUUUAGAACGCCAGCUAACUGUAACUGUAAAUCACCAUAUUGGCAUUGUUGCACCACUGGCAGGAGAGGACAUUUUGGAACUCCCAAAAAUGGCUGAAUUUACAGAGUAACUCCGAAUCUGAGAAUUCGUUUAUUACAGAGAAUGAAAUAAUGUUAGUUAGGGAGCCAAUAAACCUACUGAAGCCGUUCAUGUUUGAACCGAUCGUUGCCCCAGAUCAGAGUUCGAUCUCGUAGCAGUAACAACACCAACAUGCCGCCUGAAACACCUCAGCUAGAGGUGUGAGUGCUGAUGCUGCCAGAUAAUGGCUAGAGGGUAUGAGUGUGUGUUGUGGAGGGAUGGUGGCGAUAGCACAAAAUCCCAGCGGAUGGUGGCUGUAUUGCAACCAGUCAGAGGUUCCUGUCAGUCUGUCUGGAUGGCGAUGUAUUUAUUGGGCGUGUCACCAAUCCUUAUGAAAGACUUCCUGGUAGAAGAGGUUACUCGACCAGUCAGCAGGCGAUAUGCCAGUUAAAUAAUUGCUUAAACAUUUUAUAAUCAAGCAAAAUGUAAGAGCAUACAGGCUGGCAGUUUAUCGCCAGUUCACCCUAUGGGCACAAGUGAGAAUUAGAAUUGGACGAGGUGUACGGCGUCUCAUCCCUGCGUGUGUUGUUUCUUCCAUAAAGCAGCAUACCCAGAAGCAAAGGCAUUUACAUAUGGUUUGAGUUUGAAUAAAACCUGUUAAUUUA